GCCAAAAUCAACUAUAAUUAGAUGGAAAAGAAGAAGAAGAAUACAGUUAACAUAGGAUUCUGCUAUGCUAUAUUCAGCAAACAUUUUUUUCUUACUGCAACUACAAGUAUGCUAUUCACUCUCUUCAUCGCUAUCCGCCAAGGAAACAUGAUUCAUAUUCUUUUCUAGAGGAGGAAGUCCAUCGUCGGAAUCAUUAGAAGAAUUUUCACCUUCACUAUGAGAUCCAGAGUCUUCUACUUUUAGAGUUUGCGGAAUAGGUGAGGUUUGUGCAGAGAGCCACUCAUUCUGUGUUGAAACUAUUUCAGCACUCGUUUGACAAAGUGAGUAUGCCUUCAGAAGUUCCUUAUUGAGGGACAAGAACGCAUGACCCCAUUUGAACUUGCUGAGCAACAGAUUUCCAGUCUCCUCCUCACCACAUAUAAUUAAACCUGCUGCUAAAGCCUCAACACAAGAUAGCUGACACGGACGACCAUAGUUUACUGGAUUUGCUGCUACUAACCAUGGUAAAAGACGAGGUGCAGGACAGCGUAGUUUGGUGAAAGGUACAUCAUCUAAACGUGCCCAUGAACAAUCGACUACAGACAUUCCCUUUCGAUCAAUUAAACUACUAUCUUCUCUUGAAAUACACUGUGUUCCAGUAGGACUUAAGCAAAUGCCACCAAAUCCACUACCAACACGCAGCUCUCUCAACAAACCGAAUCUUGCAAGCUUCCGUCCAGUGCACCUUUUAGCGUCGCACUGACCAAAAUCCCACAUAGCCAGCUGAAUUUUUGGACCGGCUGGUUCCUCUUCUUCCAAAAAUUCUCCGGGUAAAGACUCUUCAACCUUGAAAGAGUCAUCAGGUUGACGGGUGCGACUGGAUUGUCCUCGAUGAGAGUGGUGAUGGCUUUUAGAUCGCCUUUGCUUGUUACCACCCAUUUAUAAGAACUGGCUAACGAUUUGAUCGUACUUACUGAACUACUACUAAGAUGGUGUUGGCCACU
rnacentral:misc_RNA from 1 species